rnacentral:rRNA from 1 species
GAUGAACGCUAGCGGCAGGCUUAAUACAUGCAAGUCGAGGGGCAGCGCAGUGUAGCAAUACAUGGGCGGCGACCGGCAAACGGGUGCGGAACACGUAAGCAACCUUCCUUUAAGUGGGGGAUCGCUCAGGGAAACUUGGAUUAAUACCCCGUAAUAUUAUGAAGUGGCAUCACUUUAGACUUAUAGCUCCGGCGCUUAAAGAUGGGCGUGCGACUGAUUAGGUAGUUGGCGGGGUAACGGCCCACCAAGCCUGCGAUCAGUAACCGGUGUGAGAGCACGACCAGUCACACGGGCACUGAGACACGGGCCCGACUCCUACGGGAGGCAGCAGUAAGGAAUAUUGGUCAAUGGACGCAAGUCUGAACCAGCCAUGCCGCGUGGAGGAUGAAGGUCCUCUGGAUUGUAAACUUCUUUUAUUUGGGAAGAAACCCACUGUUUCUACGGUGGUUGACGGUACCAGAUGAAUAAGCACCGGCUAACUCCGUGCCAGCAGCCGCCGUAA